rnacentral:lncRNA from 1 species
AAUAAGAUGGAAGGGAACAAAAAAUUUUUUGCUCUUAAGAAGGAUCAACUCUGCUUCCGUUUUUGUUAUGUGUGUGCAUGGAAGAGAAUAAAAGACGAUGUGAAGGUGAUCUUUAGGUCACAUUUUUCUGCUGCUGAGUUUUUUUUUGUUUUUCUUCUUUUUUUUAGAGAUCCCCCAGGUUUUUUGUGGCGCCGAUGCAGUAUCUCCUUGAUUGGUUGAGAGAGUUUUUC